CCCCAGACUCCUACGGGAGGCAGCAGUGGGGAAUAUUGCACAAUGGGGGAAACCCUGAUGCAGCGACGCCGCGUGAGUGAAGAAGUAUUUCGGUAUGUAAAGCUCUAUCAGCAGGGAAGAAAAUGACGGUACCUGACUAAGAAGCCCCGGCUAACUACGUGCCAGCAGCCGCGGUAAUACGUAGGGGGCAAGCGUUAUCCGGAUUUACUGGGUGUAAAGGGAGCGUAGACGGCAUGGCAAGUCAGAUGUGAAAGCCCGGGGCGCAACCCCGGGACUGCAUUUGAAACUGUCAGGCUGGAGUGCAGGAGAGGUAAGUGGAAUUCCUAGUGUAGCGGUGAAAUGCGUAGAUAUUAGGAGGAACACCAGUGGCGAAGGCGGCUUACUGGACUGUAACUGACGUUGAGGCUCGAAAGCGUGGGGAGCAAACAGGAUUAGAUACCCCGGUAGAA
rnacentral:rRNA from 1 species